rnacentral:tRNA from 1 species
AGUAAUGAAGUAAAACUUACAUUUAGUUUCGACCUAAAAUUAAGAGCUACAUUAAGCUCCUUACUU